UCUCUGGUCAGAAUCAUGCCGUCUAUCUUUUGUAAAGCCUUGGUCCCUCACAACACUGCAGAUGGAAAGGGAAAGCCAAAAGUACCAAAGGGCAGAGGAGGAGGGCAAGAGAAAAAAGUCAUCCAUCCUUACAGCAGAAAGGCUGCUCAGCUUACGAGAGAAGCACACAAACAGGAAAAAAAGGAAAAGUUGAAGAAUGAAAAAGCCUUGCGUCUGAGUAUUGUAGGAGAAAAAUUACAGUGGUUUCAAAGUCACCUUGAUCCCAGCAAAGCAGACUACACAAAGAAAGAAGCCUGUGAACUAAUUGAAAAAUAUUUACAUCGAUUCAGUGAUGAGCUGGAGCAAAUUAAGUUACAUAACAGCAUUAAAGGCAGACAAGGAAGGCAGCACAGUUCCCGGGAGGAGAUAAUCAAACAGACCAUAGAGCAUGAAAGACAACUCUAUGAAGGAUAUGGGAUAGACAUUCCUGACAUUGUGAAUGGCAAACAUCUUAAAAUUUUCAGAGAAUGGGAUGGCGAUCUGAAGAAACUGCCAAACAUUAAAAUGAGAAAAGUGUCUACUAAAAAUGCUGUUUGCAGUAGGACGGAGGUGGCAAAUGGGGAAGCUGAAGAGGAAUUAGAUGCAGCAAAAGACACAGACUAAUGAGCACCAGCUGAUACGAAAGAUGAAACAGUUGAAAGGGACUGCCAGGAACCUAUUUGAACUAUCACUGGAAGCAGAAAUAAAGCUGAUUUUUCACUGUGAAGAACAGGAACAUUUGCCUUAGCUGAGAAUCACCUUUCUUCUUGCAUGGAAGUCAGCAGAUCCAACCCACCCACCACAAGGUUAUAGUUCUGAGCGAGACUUCAACUGUUGCCCUCUCCUCCAUUUUCUUUUUUGGGCACAUAUGUACAUAUUGUAUAUAUCCGCUGUUAAUUGGGGUGGAAUUUGAAGUUACUCUCAUCUAGGAAGGGUUUAUAUAAAUUUGUUGUUCUACCUAAUAACCUGUGAAUUAAGGUUUAAAGGCAUUAGCUCUACAAAGCAGGUCUAGAAGGAUCUUGAACUGGCUUUCUAGAUGCAUCUUCAAGAGUGUGGCCUCUCCCAGCCUGCUUUGACUGACUGAUCUGGUGUCUGCCUCCAAGGAGCUGCAACUAUGAGUAAGAUCCAUUAUAAUGGAGCUGCAGACUGUAACUGUAAAGAAAAUGUUCAGGUAGGUUUUUUUUUAAAAAAAGGUUCCUAAUAGGGAGCCUCACAAUACCAUUUUAGUAAGCUAUUCUACAGAGUAGAACCGUUCUUUAAGCGCCUACACUUAAACUGUUACCUUAAAAAUGUGUGUAUAGUGGCAUGAAAAUACCCUGUGCAAAGUGUCAUGAGGCAUAUAAUAAAACUAUGGAUUUGCUAUGGAGUAGUUUUGUAAUCAGGGUAACUCUUAAUUACCAUAAUUCAAAUACUCUGACCAAUUUUUGACAUAAAUGGAACAGCUGUGUCAGUCUGUAACUAGUUCAUUAUUAGAAAUGAACAAAUAGAAUUACUAAACCAACAUUUACAUAGAGAGCCUGGACUAAAAUUCACUGCUCUAAAAACACAGGCUUGUUCCAGUUGAGGUAAAAGAAGCUCUCUGUCAUGCUGUCAGCCCUGAUUUAUAUUCUUGAAGCUACAUCCAAUCAAGAAGGGCAGCAUGCUCAUUGAGAAUGACUGGGUCACCAUGCUAUUCCCUAGCCUACUACACAUCGAAUGUGAUCUUGUCCAAAAUUCUUAUUUAUUUUGCAGCUUUAGAAAGAUAAGCAGCAAAUCUCAAGGUGAGAUUGCUACAGUUCUCAAUAAAACCUUGCCUGAGCUUCCCCUCAGACUGGUUUAUGCCCAGAGCUGCUCUCUGCAGGGCUUCCUGUACCUAGCUGUUUUACCUCUGAGAGCCACUGAGCUUUUAUUGGUUGCUGAACUGGUUCAAGUGAAACCCACCUAAUUUUGUUACUACCGGUGGUCUUUCUUCAAAGAGAGAUUUACAGACAACAUGUCUGGCUUUAGGAACCUCUUACUUUGCUACAACAAUUCCUGUGUAAAUUUGCUUAACAACAACCUAAUUUCUUCAAAUUAUAGACUGUGUGUACUAGCUCUUAAGGAAUUUUAACUAUACGGCAAGUUUGAAGGAGUAAUAAGCUAGUUUUUGCUUUCUCCAAGAGCUUCAAACUGCACGCAAAGCACCAAUUGGAAUAAACAAAAAAGUGCUGUUUUAAUUCCCAUUUCCUCAGUGUAACUAGAAAAGAGGAUACUCCAUGCUGUCCUGCAUACAUCUUACCAAAAGAUAUGUGAAUUCUCAGGCAAAGUGAUCAACCGCACACUCCUAAGAUCAAGUUGAACGGUGCAUCAGGAAGUACCUACUGCUGUGGAGGGUAGGGUGGAGUCCCGGUCAUCUCUAAGCUUGCAACCAAGUUCCAACAUAAGCUUUAUUUUAGCUGCCCAAACUUUAGCAAAGGACAAUUUUUUUCCCAGAAAAGGUAGAAAAAAAUUGGCCAUAAGGUUACCCUUCAUGGACACUAGUCAAACAUUACUUCAGGUUACCCACAAUUCCCUACUUUUAAAAUAAAUGUAGCUCUGUAUUUAUAUACAAUGGAUAGAAAUGAACAUGUCUAAUAAAAGCAGUUCAGUCAUUUUUAUUUUAAUGCACUUUCUGUUUUUACUGGCAAAGUUGGGCAUGUAGAUCUGUUUAAACUAUGAAAUUUUCUUUACAGUUUGGCAAGGCUGGCUUAGAUGAUUUCUACUGCAACUCUUAAAACAUGUUCUCUCAAGGAGCACUGUGAUCCAUUGGUCUUGGAGGCAAUGGAUACCAUUUGAUAAUGUCAGACUGCUACAACUAUGCUCUGGAUAAUCUAUUUAAAACGAAGCAGACUAUCAUAUAAAAAUGGUGGGGCCCAUACUUGCCGGAAUUCUGUGCAAAGGGGCUUUUAAAACUUAACCAAAAUCUUUUCCUGGGUGCAUAGCUUGAGACAAUGGGGACGGGUCAGAAAGAUGGAAUCCUCCCAACAAAUUCAGUUAUAAUUAUGCUCGGAGGUCUGCCUCUGGGGAGAAAUGGGAUGUGAAAAUGUUUUGUCCUGGUGAAGGAAUGUCACACUUAAAGCAAACAUAAAUUCUGCAUUUUUUGCUUUAACAAACCAAAAUGUUUUUUCUUUUGGAAACUCAAAUAUAGUAUAUGGUGGUAACAUCAUUUCUACCACUUAAAAUACAGAAAACUGCAGUGGUUUGGGUCAUUUGUUUAAUACAAAUACAAAUUUGUUCUACAACAAUUAAAGUUAUAUUAAUUUUGUUUCCCUUUAACUCCCCCCCCCCCCCCUUUCAGUACAUAUUCACUCACAAAAACCAACCCCUUUUGGAAAAGAGAAUGGGGUUAAAGAAGUAACAACUCUUAGUUCCAGGUAUUACACAGUGUAAAAUAUUUUCUUCAUAGAUUAAGUGUCAAUUAUAAAAAAGGGGGAUGAUGGGGAAUGUAUAGUUAUGGACAGGCCAGGAAAAUAACCACUUGCUUUCAGCUAUAGUGCUAUGUGAAACAGUACCAUUAGACUGGGUAAAAAUCCUCAUCAUACUAACGCAAAGGUAAGUGGUGCAUUGUCACUGUUUUAAAAUGAGUAAUUGAAAACAGUUCUGGAAAUGGAAACGGAUCUCUUCUUUCCUGGUUUCUUAAAAUCUAUGUCCACAUAGGGGAUAGAAGCAUUUUGUUUAUGUUCCACAAUUCCUCAUUAAUAUCUAGUAAUUCUGCAAUCCUUAUCCAAGCAAAACUGCCACUGACGUUAAAGGGAGUGUUGCUCAAGCAAGAAGGCAGAAUUUGGCUUCAUAUCCAUGCAGUCUACCUGGGACUGACCACAUCUACAAAAGGGCAGCUCACAAUGAGUGUUCGUCCCAGAGAUGAUCCUGCAGUUCUUAGCCAGUCCAAAUUCCACUGAGGUGAGAGGUGUUUUGCCUGAAUAAGGACUGCAUUUGAUUACUGGGCCUAGGCCACUGUGGUUUAGCUACUUAUGUAUAUGUAGGUUUUUACUGAUCUUUAACUUCUUCUCAAAAUAACAUUAAAAGAAAAGCAUUAAAUUACUACUUGCCAAUGAAAAAGAGUGGGUUUUGUGGCACAGAAUCCUCAAGUGGACUACACUGAUUGAUUGGGUUCAUACAGAACAUUAUACUCUCUGAUAGACAAGGAUAGCAGAUGUCCAGUACUUACACUCUUGACCCAUUUUCAUGUGAAGUUAUUCAUGCAAGCCUGUAUCCCUAACACCUCCGUGUAAAUAAUCUUUUUUGCUGGAGACAAGUCUUAUACUACUAGGUAAAUGUGGCUUUGAGUAUAUAGCUAAAUUUCUACCCCAGACCAGAAGAAAGAGCUUUUUGUAACCUCAAAAGUUUCUCAUAUCAACAGAAGUUGGUCAAAUAUAUUACUUCACCGACCUUGUCUCUCUAAAAACCAUCAAGUCAACUGACAGAGGGGAUGAAGGGGGGAGAAAGGACUUUAACAGUGCUUAAGGCCCUUCAGUUUUUACCAGUUUAACUGAUAAAUUCCUGAGUUUUACAAAACAAUUUUUUGGUAAGAAGUGGAAGAGACAAGGGCAUCUUCUCCUUAUGCUGCUGCCUCCAUCUCUUCCACUUCUGGGCCCUGCCCAGAAGGAGAGAUGGUGUCUGGGUAGCCAAGUUUGUGAAGCCACCAUCUCUGCUUCCAGAGCGGUGAGCCAGGUCAGAAGUAUGGGAAUUACCUAAAUCUCAUUAAAUACACAUUUCCAGCUUUACAGAGAACAUGGAUAAAAGUUAAGGAAUUACUUUUCACACUAAAUGGGUUGAAAAUAAAAAACUGUAUCUGAUUAUCUUUCGGACCACUAGGAGCUUUCUGAAAGUUAAACAAAACAGGAGCAGUGAUAUUUACCCAAUAUUUACUCAGAAAAGUGCAGUUAAUUUUUUUCUGCAGAUUUUCAUCCUUUUAAAAUUUUUGUACCAAACUGAUAAAUUCCCAAAAAACAUUAAACUAAAUAAAAACUGAAAGGAAAGGGCCUCAAUAAUGCUGUAAGGGAUUAAAGGCCUAGUCCAAGCCUCCUUAGUCAGUGGGAGAAUUACAGUUGUGUUCAAUAGGCUUUGGAGUAGACAUUAACUACUUCCCUAUCUCAAAUUCUCUUCAGGGGACAAGUUCUGUUGAACUAUAUCUCCUAAUAUCUCAUUCUGAACUGAGACUAAGCCUCAGUUACAGAGUACUUGCAAGACAACUGCCAUUUAAUGGUGCUUUAAGGUUAGAAAACUCAGGAUAAUUACAUUCUGCAGGGUAAGUUCUGCUCGGUCAUUAUAUCCACAAAAGGAUUUGUUUGAUUUCCUGUCCUUCCCCCCACGUGCACAUGCCAGUUUCCUAAACAUGAGAUCAAAGAGGGCCCUAGUUUACUGUGGUCCCCAGACUUACCCAAACCAAUGCACAGGUACGUCUGGCCACUUUGGCUCUCCUGUCCCAAUAAUAAACACCACAGCAAGUGGAAGUGAAUCACAAAAUUCUUUGACAGGUUUCAGAGUAGCAGCUGUGUUAGUCUGUAUCCGCAAAAAGAAAAGGAGGACUUGUGGCACCUUAGAGCUGUAGCUCAUGAAAGCUUAUGUUCAAAUAAAUUUGUUAGUCUCUAAGGUGCCAAAAAUUCUUUAUGUAACUCACUUCUGUUGGACAUCAUUUUAUCUACAUUCAUUUAUCUAUUGCACUCUUUAAUGUUAUUCACACUUCAGUUUUACAUGAAAAUGCUCAAAACACAAAAUUAACAACUGAACUGUUGAAUCCCUAAUUGCUCAGUCUUAUCCUGAACAGAGGAUAACUAUCCAGUCAAAUCAGAACAGGGCGAUACUGGCAUCUUUUAAUAGGUCCACGUAUGCUCUUUUGUGAUUACCUGAAUUGCUGAAGCAUGAACUCUUAAAAAAUUCCACCUUCCACUUUAGCUGUCAUUCCUAGGGGGUGUGAGCGUCUAAAUUCAUUUCAUAUUCUUUUGUAAUGGACUGCAUGCUUCAACCUGUAAUGCCUCUGAUUAUACUUUGUCUUUUUCCAUCUUGGAGAAAAGCUUUCUAUAUAUCCUUUCUACAUAUAUUGACAGAGAGUUCAUGUUAAUUCACCACUUAACAAGUGUCAUUUAUUUUACUUUAAGAUAAGCAGAACUAAAAGUGUUGUUCCAGAUGUAGAGCUAAUAAUUUGAGCCUUGUGGCUAAAUAAUACUUGUAUUUCAUGGGACCAAGGAAGCAUUUGAGGCAAUUAGAGGACUUGAAGAUUACUUGUUGAAAUUGCUUAUUUUGCAAAAAAAAAAUAAACACAUAUCCAAAAGCAUUAAAUAUGUGCUUCACGUCUCCUCAGCUCACAUGGCUCCCAAAACAUUCAGGCUCCCAUGUAGCCAUACAACUAUGUAAUGAUUACUUUACGAGAUUUAGAAAGUGAGUGACAUGGUGCAGGUCUGUUUACUUUGUUGAUCUAAGUUUAAUGCAAAUGACUUUUUAGUGGUGUCACUUUAAGAUGAUGAGCAAAUAGGAUGCCUAGUAGUAACAAAUAGAUGGAAAGUUGUUGAUGUUUUCUGUAACAGAACAGUUAUAGCAGGUCUAUUUCCAAUUCCUCCUGGUCAUCCAGUUUAAAAAGGUCAUUUUGUCAUGUCUGUUUGACACUGUUAGAAUUGUUCUCUGUUGUGCUUUCUACACUUCCACUACACCUGGCUGACUAAUUGAGAAACUAUUUCACAGUCACAUUCCAUAAGUAAUGCAUGUUGCUUCACUAUAUCCAUUUCCCUGGUCAGGGUUUUUUGUUCUUUUAUUUAAAAUGCAUGAUUGUUUCUGCUUUCUGUAGGGGCUGUGGUGUAAAAUGCACACACACCUUCUUCAAUGAAGAAACAAUGCCACCUCUGUCAAACUGGCAUGACCUCAGAGGUCAUUUCUUCAGCCGCUUGCUGGGAGUUUGUACCUGUCUGUGAUACUGGCACUACCACAGCAUCCUUGAUUUCAGCGUUCUGAAUGCAUGAAGGGUUCUUCUCCAUUUUUUUGGCAGUGUCCGGGCAGUUUUGAACAAAGAUCACUCGAUUGUAAGCCUUCAGUCUGCGCCACAACUGAAUGUAGACUUUGCACUGUACGUACAUGAAGACUAGGCCUCCAGUGAACCCAAUUGCUACCACAACCAGUUUUGUCCAAAAUGGCCAUUCAAGAACACCUUUCAAACAAACAAGUUACAAUUAGUGUUGUCAUCAUUUCAUAAUGUCUUGCUGAUUGCUUCUCUUUUCUGUAGCCUCUAUAUUCCAGUAUUACAUAAAGCUGACAAAACAUUAUUCUUUUCAAAGGAUCCCUAAUGCUAUUUGUACUGUAUGUACACAGUCACACACAUGAAGUGCAGCUGUUCCCAAGAUCAUAGAAACAAGAUCAGAUCCCUAAACAUCUAGUACAAUAGGGGAUUUUUGGUUUAACAAGGAAUGCUGGAUCAGGUCUUAGGACAGAAAGAUAACUGUCCUUACUAGAAACAGAUGACAUUUUUAUGUCCCUUGAUUGUACCCAUGCCUAUAGUACCUAUUUUAAGUAGGCAGAAUGUAGUUUAUCUAAACUGGAAUGGCCAGAUCACUGGGCUUUGGGCCCUACUACUGAAAUAAAUAAAUAAAAGAAGCUUUUCUUUCUUUUUUUUUUAAAGUUUGAUGGCUGGUCUACAAGGAGACUCAAGUGUGCCACAAGCUAGGGUAUGUACAGUGUACUGGUCUGCUACACAGUAAGGUGCUGCGUGGACCCUGCUACCAUGCACAAAGUUUCGUAAUGAGCAGUAGCAAGGUCCACAUGGCUACUUGGUGCACUGUAGUUUACACCCUAGUUUGCUGCACGCUACGGGUCUGUAAAUAUACCUGGCACACCCUAUUUUAUACCUCAUUGAACAGUGGCACCUACAAUACCAAUGUGUUCCCCUGGUAUGGGGCUGCAGCAUUGGUUCAGUAGCAAAUUAGUGGGAAGAAAUCCACCUUGUGAAUAAAACAGCACCAUAGCUUUUUUUGUUCUUUAUGCCUCUCUUGUGUGCUUUUUCCUUCUGCUAAAUCAACACAUUGCUAUUUUCCUACUUAGUUAUAUAAGAACUUUACAGUUCCUGAUACUGUUUUUGUUCAUUGCACCCUUUGCGCUCAGUUUAAAAACUAGGAAAAACUCUUGAAAGGUCUUACUGUAAUUGUAGAAAAAAGUCUCCAUGGGUGAUGACACUAAGGCUACAGAACAGAGAAUUUGAACUCCGUAAUGAUAUGAGUAAUGCUAAGAUGAUUCACUUUAGCCUAGAACUAGUCUUAGAACUUUACAAAAUCAAUUAUUGCUAUACUGGGAACAGCUUUAGAAUCACAGGAUAAUUAACAACACUGCAGCUGCUUCUUCAUAUGUUUAGCAGUAUGACUAAAAUGGGGGGAAAACCCUCAGUUGUGCAUUACUGCAUCAGAUCUAAUGAUGACAGUGUUGGCAUUAAUACAUAAUAUGCAAGUGUGUGGUUUUGAGAUUGCAUGUCAUACGCCUCUGUGUCAAUGCUGCUUUCUUGAUAUUUUACUUAAAAUAAAUUUAUUAGUCACAUAUGGAAGAUCUUUAAAAAUCCUUAGAACAUAUAGAGUGCAAAUCACGAUCAAGGUGCUUUAGAAACAGGAUAAUUAAACUUCAAAGCAAUGCUUGGGCGUCAUUAGAGAGAGGCACUCCAAGAUGGAUACGGUGUCAGCUGGAGGAUUAGAAUCCACUGGUGGUCAUCUGCCAGGCUUAGUUGCAACCAGAAGAGCAGUAAUUUGAGUUUAAGCUAGGGCUGUCAAGUGAUUAAAAAAAUUAAUUGUGUUGUUAAACAAUAAUAGAAUACCAUUUAUUUAAAUAUUUUUGGGUAUUUUCUACAUUUUCAAAUAUAUUGAUUUCAAUUACAACACAAUACUAAGUGUACAGUACUUACUUUAUAUUUCAUUAUAAAUAUUUGCACUGUAAAAAACAAAAGAAAUAGUAUUUUUUCAGUUUACAAGUACUGUAGUGCAAUCUCUUUAUCAUGAAAGUUGAACUUACAAAUGUAGAAUUAUGUACAAAAAACCAACUGCAUUCAAAACUAAAACAUUGUAAAAAACUUUAGAUCCUACAAGUCCACACCGUCCUACUUCAGCCAAUCGCUCAGACAAACAAAUUUGGUUACAAUUUGCAGGAGAUAAUGCUGCCUGCUUCUUGUUUACAAUGUCACCUGAAAGUGAGAACAGAUGUUCUCACAGCACUGUUGUAGCCGGUGUUGCAAGAUAUUUACGUGCCAGAUGCGCUAAAGAUGCAUAUGUCCAUUCAUGCUUCAACCACCAUUCCAGAGGACAUCUGUCCAUGCUGAUGACGUGUUUAACCAUCAAAAGCAGUACAGACCGACACCUGUUCAUUUUCAUCAUCUGAGUCAGAUACCACCAGCAGAAGGUUGAUUUUCUUUUUUGGUGGUUUGGAUUCUGUAGUUUCCACAUCUGAGUGUUGCUCUUUUAAGACUUCCGAAAGCAUGCUCCACACCUCGUCCCUCUUAGAUUUUGGAAGGCACUUCAGAUUCUUAAACCUUGGGUCGAGUGCUGUAGCUAUUUUUAGAUAACUCACAUUGGUACCUUCUUUGCCAAAUUGCAAUGCCACAGUGCCCAGCGAAUGCCUUUUCUCACUUUCAGGUGACAUUGUAAAUAAGAAGCAGGCAGCAUUAUCUCCCAUAAAUGUAAACAAACUUGUUUGUCUUAGUGAUUGGCUGAACAAGAAGUAGGACUGAGUGGACUUGUAGGCUCUAAAAUUUUACACUGAGUGCACUUAUGUAACAAAAAAAACCCCUACAUUUGUAAGUUACACUUUCACGCUAAAGAGAUUUCACUACAGUACUGGAAUGAGGUGAAUUGAAAAAUACUAUUUCUUUUGUUUAUCAUUUUUACAGUGCAAAUAUUUGUAAUAAAAAUAAUAUAAAGUGAGCACUAUACACUUCGUAUUCUGUGUUGUAAUAGAAAUAGUUGAAAAUGUAGAAAACCAUCCAAAAUAUUUUAAAAACAAGAAAAGGAGUACUUGUGGCACCUUAGAGACGAACACAUUUAUUUGAGCAUAAGCUUUCGUGAGCUACAGCUCACUUCAUCGGAUGCAUUCAGUGGAAAAUACAGUGAGGAGAUUUAUAUACAUAGAGAACAUGAAACAAUGGGUGUUACCAUACACACUGUAAUGAGAGUGAUCACUUAAGGUGAGCUAUUACCAGCGGGGGGGGGGGGGGGGGGGGGGGAGGGGGAGAGGGGAACCUUUUGUAGUGAUAAUCAAGGUGGGCCAUUUCCAGCAGUUGACAAGAACGUCUGAGGAACAGUGGGGGUUGGGGGGGGGGGCAGAAUAAACAACGGGAAAUAGUUUUACUUUGUGUAAUGACCCAUCCACUCCCAGUCUCUAUUCAAGCCUAAGUUAAUUGUAUCCAGUCUACUCUGAAACCUGUCAAAAUAUUUAAUACAUUUCAAUUGGUAUUCUAUUGUUUAACAGUGCGAUUAAUUUUUGAGUUAAUUGCAUGAGUUAACUGCAAUUAAUCAACAGCCCUAGUUUAACCAUCUGUUUUUGCUGCUUAUGCAACUGGCUUGCCUUAGAAAAGUCUUUGUAAGUGAGAAAUCAUUGAAAUAAUCACUACAGAAUGGUGUUUAAUUACCACAGAUUUCCCUGUCAUGGAAACUGCUAGUAAGUGCUAACUUUUUCAGGGUGGCACUUUUGAAAGUCAAAGUGACUUUAGCACAUAUUCCAGUGAAAGUCAGUUGGACUCCUACUCUUAAGUGACAGAGAUGGUCUCCUUAUUAAGGAAAUGACAGCUACUCCACACACUGACUUAGGAGCUUCUGAAAAUCCUACCUACCAGUGAUCACGGAUGAGAUGUGGUGUUAGUUUUGAAAAAUUACACACCAGGCAAUAGCCUCAGCUGCAGUAAAUCAUGUAACUCUGCUGAAGGCAGUGGAGCUAUGCUGAUUUACACGAGCUAGUUUGAUUAGAUAUUUCUGUCAUCUCACCAGACCCUGGAGUAAGUACGCCAAGAAGAAAUAGGGAAAAAUACUUUUAAUGAUUUCCCCCAUCUUCUCGCUUUAUUGGGCUAGCGUGUAACUUUUUGGGUAGUAAAUCAGAGUUCUGAAUUUCAAUAUGAAAAAGAGUGGGCCUGUUGUUGCAUCACGGUAGGGGAUGGGAGCUUUGCAGUUGUCUGUAGUAAUCAAAUAAAUGCUACUAUGUGUGGAUCAAAUUUUGUUUUUGAAUGUGCUAAUCUAUUUCCUCAUUGACUUCACUGAGCACCAAGAGGUGUAUCCAUAGCCAGGAUUUGCUCCCAUGUGUUAAUUUUUCCUUAAUGAAUUCUUGUAACUAAAGGCAGCAUAGCAUUUGCAACUCUACUGAAGUAGUAUACUAUACGCAUGUUGGCAAUAUCUGUUUAGUUCAGUAAUCCACUGUAGUCUGUUGUAAAACAAAUCAGCUAUGUAAAUCCAGUCCUGCAUUUAAAUGCCCUCUAGCCCAACGAGGCCACAAUCCUGACUGGCAUACUACUAGUACUGAAAUAAUAACCAAAACUUUUGUUAAGGUUCUAAAUCAGGGGUAGUCAGUAGGUGGAGCACGGGCCAAAUCUGGACUGCCAUAUGCUUUUGAACAGACCCCCAAAUCUUUUUAUUUACUUAUUAUUUUCUCUGGAUCCUGGAGCUUGACUAUACCUUGAUGAAGAAAUGUGGACCUUGACAAAAAUAGACUACCCCUGUUCUAAACUGUUCCAGUAACUCCUCCCUCUCCCUCAUUUUUCCCAGUCUUUGCUUGCAUGGAUUCCCACUAGAACUGAAAGUGCUGAAAUAUCACAAUAAAGGCUGCUGUUAGAGGAUGAAAUCCAGCUGUGUGCAGAGAAUGCAGGAAAGGACCUCUGUGACAUUUAAUUCUCACAUUAAGGGCUGCACAGGACUUUCUACACUAGGGUGAAUUUCAUGCAGUGUUUCCUGCUGGGUCUGGAAGUUUUAACUUGCUUGAAAUCUUCUAAGAAAGCCUUUUGCAAGAUUUCUACCCCAGUUUUGUAGACGAGAGGUUUCAAUAGGUCAGAUGGGCAGCUUAAAUCUUUUGGAUGCUCUGAACUGAACUUGCACUGAACUUUUUAAGUUUCACUCAUCAAUUUUUAAAUAGUAGCUUUAAAAAAGUCCAGCUAUUGAAGUAAAAUGAAAAGAAUGAACUGAAUGGUUUAGUUGUUGUGAUGGGUGCAUUGAACUGUGAUUUGUUUGCACUGCAGGAAAGAAAAUAUAUUCAGCAAAAAACAGGUUUGUAAACUGAAUUGUGUGUCCUUUGCUUUGUCAUCAAACAAAUUCCCUAUAAUCCUGUUAUAUAUUUACAAAUAAAAAGUGCCUUGCUAUCUA